CCCCGGGUCGGCGUCUCCGUCCGUCCGAGUUCGCCGGCCGCGGCCGCCGGGAUCCGGGGACGGCCCCCGCCGCCCGCCCGGCUCCGCGCCCUCUCUCCAGCCACACGGCGCAGAAAUUUAGGUCAAGGACGUCGGGAUCAAACCCAAGCCCCGGCGCCCCUCUGCGCGCCCCGAGACGCCCCCCGCCCCCCGCCGCCCAGCGUCGCGGAGCCCCAGGACUGCGGAGACCCUCCCGCACCCACGGCAGCCACAAGUUUUUAUUUUCCUUUGGCGCUGGAAGUUCUCUCCGGCUCUCGCUCCACACCGGCACGUCCUGCGCCACUCCCCGCCCUUCCCCGGCGGAGGUGCGGAGCCCUCCCUCUGCCGUGCCGGGGAAAGGUUAUUUUGGAACUUUGAGACACUGACGAGAUCCCUCCGGAUUAGGACACAAUGGAACACACUCAACACCAAAACUAUACCAAAUCCAGUGUGGGUCGUGGAAAAGUGGAAUAUUUGGAAAAUCCCAACACUACCCAAAGCCUUGGAUGACCAGAUUGUUAAUCUCCCUGCCUCUUAUUUUUGGGAUAAUCCCUCACUAACAGGAUUGAUGGGGUGAAAGGAGAGAUUGAAGCACUUUAGAGCUUUAAACCACAAAGCCAAGCAUUUUCCCGUCACUCCAAGCUGCUUCCCAAAUCAUCUGGGGUCUGGUGCGUUGAAGAGCCAGUUGUUAUUAUGGCGAUUGUUUAUUAUGACUAUUCUCAAUAACAAAAUGCAGACAACAAAGCUAAUUGCAUUUUGUUGGGGAUUUUUACACUAGAACCACAGACCAUCAGAGGUAGAAAGGCCUUUCCUGAUCCAACUCCCCCCACCGCCCCAUUUUACAUCAGGAUCCCAGAGGAGCCAAGCUGGGCAGGCUACACCCCACCCCCCAGCAAU
rnacentral:lncRNA from 12 species